rnacentral:piRNA from 1 species
UGGACGCCUGACGCCCAACGUGGCAAGU